UGGCGGACGGGUGAGUAAUGCCUAGGAAAUUGCCCUGAUGUGGGGGAUAACCAUUGGAAACGAUGGCUAAUACCGCAUGAUGCCUACGGGCCAAAGAGGGGGACCUUCGGGCCUCUCGCGUCAGGAUAUGCCUAGGUGGGAUUAGCUAGUUGGUGAGGUAAGGGCUCACCAAGGCGACGAUCCCUAGCUGGUCUGAGAGGAUGAUCAGCCACACUGGAACUGAGACACGGUCCAGACUCCUACGGGAGGCAGCAGUGGGGAAUAUUGCACAAUGGGCGCAAGCCUGAUGCAGCCAUGCCGCGUGUGUGAAGAAGGCCUUCGGGUUGUAAAGCACUUUCAGUAAGGAGGAAAGGUUAAGUGUUAAUAGCACUUAGCUGUGGCGUUACUUACAGAAGAAGCACCGGCUAACUCCGUGCCAGCAGCCGCGGUAAU
rnacentral:rRNA from 1 species